GCACAGAUAGUAUAAUAAAUUUACAUUAACUUUUCACGUUAAAAAUAUCAUCCAUUUGAUUCUAUGCU
rnacentral:tRNA from 1 species